UAUUGCACAAUGGGGGAAACCCUGAUGCAGCGACGCCGCGUGAGUGAAGAAGUAUCUCGGUAUGUAAAGCUCUGUCAGCAGGGAAGAAAGAAGACGGUACCUGACCAAGAAGCCCCGGCUAACUACGUGCCAGCAGCCGCGGUAAUACGUAGGGGGCAAGCGUUAUCCGGAAUUACUGGGUGUAAAGGGAGCGCAGACGGUCAUGCAAGUCUGGAGUGAAAGGCGGGGGCCCAACCCCCGGACUGCUCUGGAAACUGUGAGACUGGAGUGCAGGAGAGGCAGGCGGAAUUCCUGGUGUAGCGGUGAAAUGCGUAGAUAUCAGGAGGAACACCGGUGGCGAAGGCGGCCUGCUGGACUGUAACUGACGUUGAGGCUCGAAAGCGUGGGGAGCAAACAGG
rnacentral:rRNA from 1 species